UUGAUCCUGCCAGUCCUGACUGCUAUCGGAUUGAUACUAAGCCAUGCGAGUCAUUGUAGCAAUACAAGGCAGACGGCUCAGUAACGCGUAGUCAAUCUACCCUAUGGACGGGAAUAACCUCGGGAAACUGAGAAUAAUGCCCGAUAGAACAUUAUGCCUGGAAUGGUUUAUGUUUCAAAUGAUUUAUCGCCAUAGGAUGGGACUGCGGCCUAUCAGUUUGUUGGUGAGGUAAUGGCCCACCAAGACUAUUACAGGUACGGGCUCUGAGAGGAGUGGCCCGGAGAUGGGUACUGAGACACGGACCCAGGCCCUAUGGGGCGCAGCAGGCGAGAAAACUUUGCAAUGUGCGAAAGCACGACAAGGUUAAUCCGAGUGGUUUCUGCUAAAGAAACCUUUUGUCAGUCCUAGAAACACUAACGAAUAAGGGGUGGGCAAGUUCUGGUGUCAGCCGCCGCGGUAAAACCAGCACCUCAAGUGGUCAGGAUGAUUAUUGGGCCUAAAGCAUCCGUAGCUCGUUUUGUAAGUUUUCGGUUAAAUCCAUGCGCUUAACGUAUGGGCUGCCGGGAAUACUGCAUAACUAGGAAGUGGGAGAGGUAGACGGUACUCGGUAGGAAGGGGUAAAAUCCUUUGAUCUAUUGAUGACCACCUGUGGCGAAGGCGGUCUACCAGAACACGUUCGACGGUGAGGGAUGAAAGCUGGGGGAGCAAACCGGAUUAGAUACCCGGGUAGUCCCAGCUGUAAACUAUGCAAACUCAGUGAUGCAUUGGCUUGUGGCCAAUG
rnacentral:rRNA from 1 species